rnacentral:rRNA from 1 species
CGAAGGGGGCUAGCGUUGUUCGGAAUUACUGGGCGUAAAGCGCGCGCAGGCGGCUAUCCAAGUCAGUGGUGAAAGCCCGGAGCUCAACUCCGGAACUGCCAUUGAAACUGUUUAGCUUGAGGACGAGAGAGGUGAGUGGAAUUCCCAGUGUAGAGGUGAAAUUCGUAGAUAUUGGGAAGAACACCGGUGGCGAAGGCGGCUCACUGGCUCGUAUCUGACGCUCAGGCGCGAUAGCGUGGGGAUCAAACAGGAUUAGAUACCCUGGUAGUCCACGCCGUAAACGAUGAAUGCUAGCCGUUGGGUAGCUUGCUAUUCAGUGGCGCAGCUAACGCAUUAAGCAUUCCGCCUGGGGAGUACGGCCGCAAGGUUG